CUCUAAGUUAUUAUUAAGAAGACAGUUGAAUCCCGAAUUGUCUAUUUUUAUUAUUAUUUGUGCUAUGUUACUUGCUUGCGAAACGCUUAGAUGCGCUUCUUUCCUAUUCGGGGGCCUCGACCCCCAGAUCGGAAAGGACCGCAUCCUGGUCGUUACAAGUUAUCUAGGGUUUAGUGGAGGCUGUCCUCCUAUAUAAACACAUGUACCCCUUCGAUAUUAAGCAGACAAUAAACAAUAUAUUCUGUUGUCGUCUCCCUCAGGAGACGAGAAC
rnacentral:lncRNA from 1 species